AACACUGGGCAAUCUGCACCUGGACAGUGAUCUUAUGUACUAUGUAUUCACUCUCACUGUACCAAUGCUCAUUUUUGAUUGGCUGCUAUGAGGUACUAUAUUGUAUAAACGGAGGGCCAGUACCUGCUGGGAAUGACACAAAGCUUGAGUUUAGGGUAAAAUGACCAGAUCUCUGCCUUCCUCUGUAUUUUAUAGGAAAUAUUAAGUGCUACAUGCAUUAUCCCUGAAGCUAAUUUGUCAAUUUAUUCCUUUUCCUAUACAGAUUGCUACAGUGUGCGGAUUGCUUAUUUUUUUUAGCAAUAUAUCAGCGAUUUUUGGAUGGUUAUUUUUCUGGCAUCUCCUUAAUUCAGAUUUUUACAUUCGUCUGUGAACACAUAUAAGGAGAGCCACAAUCUAAAGAGGGAGACCCUCCGGGGUACCCCGGCCUUGUGCCGGCCCCUGUAUUUUAGCCAAAAGCCAAAACAUCUCAGGCUUUUGGUUUUUUUUUUGUGCUCAUCUUCUGUCAUCUGAAGGAUUUAAGAGCAGAAAGAGUGAUGGGUUGCAAACUCUGCAAAUCGUGUGAUGUUAAGAACUGUAUUGGAUCUUCAGACUCUAUGUAUCCUGUUGUGGAGAUACAUGAAAUCCAUGAUCUAUUUGAGUCACCAGUAGAGUUUGUUGCUUCUGUGAAUUCGCUCGAGCCCCUGGUAGAGGCAAUUUUUUUGGGUAAGUAAAAAUUGCGCAUUUGGGGAACCAGCUUUAAUCAUGGUGACAGACUCCCAGUGAGAUGAUAAUGUCGUGUCAUUUUUGUAGAUUCUCCACAAACAUCCAAAUCUAGU